UGGGGAAUCUUGCGCAAUGGGCGAAAGCCUGACGCAGCCAUGCCGCGUGAAUGAUGAAGGUCUUAGGAUUGUAAAGUUCUUUAGCCUGUGACGAUGAUGACGGUAACAGGAGAAUAAGCCCCGGCUAACUUCGUGCCAGCAGCCGCGGUAAUACGAAGGGGGCUAGCGUUGUUCGGAAUUACUGGGCGUAAAGCGCGCGUAGGCGGUUUUACAAGCCAGAGGUGAAAUGCCUGAGCUUAACUUGGGAAUUGCCUUUGGAACUGUAUGACUUCGAGGACGAGAGAGGUGAGUGGAAUUCCCAGUGUAGAGGUGAAAUUCGUAGAUAUUGGGAAGAACACCGGUGGCGAAGGCGGCUCACUGGCUCGUUUCUGACGCUGCAGCACGAAAGCGUGGGGAUCAAACA
rnacentral:rRNA from 1 species